UUGAAAUUUUUUUUUCUAAACCAUCUUCUUCAAUAAAAUAGAUUUUUCCGAUGUGAUUAUCUUCAGCAAUCAAACAAUCGAAAUCUGGUCUGUACUGGCGUCAAGAUGCAUGAUCCAACCGUUGAGCAACUGGGAGGCAACAACCGUCCAGCUUCACCAAUUCACUGGGCAAAAACCAAGCCGCAACCUCCUUCUCCUCUCCUGGCAAGCAACGAUCUAUAUGACUUGGAGAGAAAGAAAUAACCGUACCCAUAGGAACUCCUUCAGGUCUGCUAGAUCAAUCUAUUUGGAAAUCGAUAGAGUUAUCAGACAGAGGAUUGCCAGUAUCAGACAAUCUGACAUGGCUCUGGGUUUCUUUUUGAUAUUUGCCACACAUAUCGGAUGGGUUUCCUCAUAGGGAGCACUUGCUUCGCCCCGUCUCUUCCUCCUCCUCCUCUCCAUUCUUCUCAGAUGCAGUUCGUGCUUCUUUGCUCCACCAAUGUCGCCUAAAUCCAAGGUCGCCGACCACCUUCGGCUUCUCUACGCAGCCAAGAUGCAGACGACUACGCUGCUUCCGUUAAGAGAAGAGCUUUGUUGCCGAUGCCAGCUAUGGCGGAUGAGAGUGACUAAAUCAGUUCAGUUCCCUUCUUCUAGCCUUUCCUCUGCUACUGCAUUGUAGACUAAAGAUCUUUUGCUUAUGGUCUUAUGUUCAAGUUUGCUUCUGGUUCAUCUUUCAUUACUGUGAUCACUUGUUUCAUUCAUUUCAGUAGUCAAUGAGAUAAAGACACCAAAGCUUAAUCAAGAAGCUGAGGUUGCAGUAAGUGAAGGAGCAUUCCCAAAUCCAUUUCUGUCUCUCUUGGGAUUUUUAGCGCUGGUGUUCUUGGUGCAAUCUAUGCAAUAGCUCGGAACGAUUCUAAAACUCCUCAACCUCAAGGCUCAAGAAACCGUCGAAUCUUUCUAUCACAAGUAAGCAAUUGUUCAUGCCAAUGGACCAUUUACUUGGACUCAAAGAGUUCUGCAAUUGAGGAGUUAAAACAUCAGAAUAAGAACUUUAAGGCUGAGAAAAAGAGUUACAUCCAAAAGCUUGAUGAUGUUUCAAAAGACUACAGUGCUUUGCAAUCAACUUCUGAAACGAAAGCAGCUGCUGAUGCGGAGGUCAUUAGCAGGAAAGAUGAGGAGAUUCAGCAGCUAAAGGAAAAGCUGGAGCAUGCGCUAAAGGAUGCAAAUGACAGUAACGACAAAGUUGCUGACUAGUUGUAAUUGUUAUAUAGUUCUGUUUUAUUUUUGAUAGUACCUUCCCAUAUGCACAAUGAUCACAAAGGCCAAGUCCAUGCUGGUGGAAUCCAAAUUUGUAAGUCGUUGUCCAUUAUAAUAUACGACUACAGAAUCACUAAGGUAAGCAGCAAUAUUCUAUAUGCCAACUUGCACAUCUGUUUAGUAAUAGUACCAUAGCUAGCCAUUAGAUGCAAACAUCUAAUGAUUAUAACUUUAUAUUACUACUUUAUAAGAGAAAUAUUUUUAUA